rnacentral:rRNA from 1 species
UGUGAACUGCAGGACACAUGAACAUCGACAUUUUGAACGCAUAUUGCGGUCCACGGAUCUAAUUCCCGGACCACACCUGGCUGAGGGUC